UAUUGGUCAAUGGCCGAGAGGCUGAACCAGCCAAGUCGCGUGAGGGAAGACGGCCCUACGCGUUGUAAACCUCUUUUGUCGGGGAGCAAAGCGAACCACGUGUGGUUCAUUGAGAGUACCCGAAGAAAAAGCAUCGGCUAACUCCGUGCCAGCAGCCGCGGUAAUACGGAGGAUGCGAGCGUUAUCCGGAUUUAUUGGGUUUAAAGGGUGCGUAGGCGGGCUUUUAAGUCAGCGGUAAAAAUUCGGGGCUCAACCCCGUCCGGCCGUUGAAACUGGGGGCCUUGAGUGGGCGAGAAGAAGGCGGAAUGCGUGGUGUAGCGGUGAAAUGCAUAGAUAUCACGCAGAACCCCGAUUGCGAAGGCAGCCUUCCGGCGCCCUACUGACGCUGAGGCACGAAAGUGCGGGGAUCG
rnacentral:rRNA from 1 species